rnacentral:lncRNA from 1 species
UUCCACUUCAGGAAACUACAAAAUUAAAUCCAAAGUAACCAAAGAAAAAAAAUCAAAAUUAAAUCAAAAUUAAAAAAUUAAAAUAAAUUUUAAAAUAUUUGGCCGGGCACGGUGGCUCACGCCUGUAAUCCCAGCACUUUAGGAGGCCCAGGUGGGUGGAUCACCUCAGAUCAGGAGUUUGAGACAAGCCUGGCCAACAUGGUGAAACCCCGUCUCUACUAAAAAUACAAAAAGUUGCCAGGCAUGGUGGUGUGUGCAUGUAAUCCCAGCUACUUGGGAGGCUGAGGCAUGAGAAUCGCUUGAACCCGGGAGGUGGAGGUUGCAGUUAGCCGAGAUCUUGCCACUGCACUCUAGGCUGGGUGACAGAGUGAGACUCCGUUUCAAAAAAAAAAAAAGGAAGAAAGAAGAAGGAGGAAGAAGAAGGAGGAAGAAGAAAGAGGAAGAAGAAGGAAGAAGAGGAAGGAAGGAAGGAGAAGAAGAAGGGGGAGGAGGAGGAGAAGGGGAAGGGGAAGGGGAAGGGGAAGAACAAGGAGGAGGAGGAGGAGAAGAAGAAGAGGAGGUGGCAGCCGUGAGGCAGAAAUCAAGACUGCUGGAUGGAACUGCUUUGGACAGGAGAAAGGAUCUGGAGAGCCCUGGUUCUGGGGAGCCACCAUGCUCAGGUGUAACGCAUUGAGCUGGGUGAGCUGGGCAGCCUUGGAGUUGAAAGGACCCCAGGAAUCCAGUCCAGGUCCCCUGUGGUGCAAAUGGGGAAACUGAGGUCCGGACAGGGAGAGGACCUCACCCAGCCGGUGGCUGCCAG